rnacentral:rRNA from 1 species
GACGAACGCUGGCGGCGUGCUUAACACAUGCAAGUGGAGCGACGAACCGGGGCUUGCCCCGGGGCAGAGCCGCGAACGGGUGAGUAACACGUGGGUAACCUGCCUCAAUGAUUGGGACAACCCGGGGAAACUCGGGCUAAUACCAAAUGUGUUCACUCCUUCUAAGGGGAGUGAGGAAAGGAAGCUUCGGCCUCCGCAUUGAGAUGGGCCCGCGGCCCAUUAGCUUGUUGGUGAGGUAACGGCUCACCAAGGCUUACGAUGGGUAGCGUGGUCUGAGAGGACGAUCAGCCACACUGGGACUGAGACACGGCCCAGACUCCUACGGGAGGCAGCAGUGGGGAAU